rnacentral:rRNA from 1 species
CGGGACGGGUGAGUAAUGUCUGGGAAACUGCCUGAUGGAGGGGGAUAACUACUGGAAACGGUAGCUAAUACCGCAUAACGUCGCAGACCAAGAGGGGACCUUCGGGCCUCUUGCCAUCGGAUGUGCCCAGAUGGGAUUAGCUAGUAGGUGGGGUAACGGCUCACCUAGGCGACGAUCCCUAGCUGGUCUGAGAGGAUGACCAGCCACACUGGAACUGAGACACGGUCCAG